CUGCAGCGAUAACACUGUGACCCUCCCCCUGUUGCAGAUUUUGCAUCGAUAACGGGGCGAUGAUAGCCCACGCUGGAUGGGAGAUGUUCCGGGUCGGACAUGUAACCCCUCUGGAGGAUUCCUGGGUCACGCAGAGGUUCCGGACAGACGAGGUGGAGGUGACUUGGAGGGAUUGACGAACCCUCUGCUGUCUCGGCGAGAGAGCGAGAGCCAUCCAUGAGGUGUGUCCUGCACGUUUUUUUAAUCAGCGCCCCCCUGCUCUGACACCUUCCUUCAGCGACCGGAGGAGGAGGACUCAAAUUGGGGUCUAUUUCUCUCUUUUAAAAAUAAAACCCUGGAAAUGUUUAA